GAGGCCAUCAUCUCUCUUCUACAUUGUGACAGUAACGGAGGCCAUCAUCUCUCUCCUACAUUGUGACAGUAAUGGCUAAAGUGUGUGGGGGUGAAGAAGCUGGGUAAUUGGACUCACCCUGGUGUACCGGGUGCUUUGAGCAAAGGACUAUCUGCUAAGUAGUCAUCUGGGAUACCCUGAUGCUAGCUUGCACUCUGAACACCAUAUAUACCUUGAAGAAGUUACACAGCUGAAUUGGAGAAACUGUGGGCCUGGCUAUUGGAGGCAUCAGAUGGCUGCUGGGGAUAUCAGCUACCUUGGGCUUGAGUUCUAUAAUACUACUGUCAGUAGUUGAGGCUUCUGACAUGAUCAGCCUUAAUGCUAGGACACUUAUUGCUGUGAUACUGAGGGUCCAUGAACCAGAGGCUAAUUAAAGAAUGGAAUAGUAGAAGG